GAAUUUAGCUCUGUCAAGUGAUCAGUGUUUAGUAGCAUCUUCGCUGCGUGACUAUCGCCAUUCCGCCGAGGCCUCGAUAUUUUAAGUCUUUAUCCUACUUCUUUAUGCCAGCAUAUUAUCUACACAGUUGGAAACGCAGUUGAAUACUAUCGUCCAACUCGAAUUCUCGCUAUACGCGAAAGGCACGCUUAAUAUCAAUAUAUUGAUAUCGCUUAGGCGAGCAAUGACAGUGCUUAGACCCCGGUUAAAGGUUCGUAGACCUUAUACAACAGCGAUUUAACCCAGUAGAGAAUAAGGAGUUAUCUUGAACGGGUUUGCGGUAGAAUGGGAUGAUUUGAAGUUGCCGAUAAUUUGACGCUUGCAACGGCCUUCAUUGCAUGGUUCAUUAGAAGCGCCAUUCUAGGCAUGGAAAGGCACAGCAAAACUUCAAACCAUCAUAGAAAUGAUUGAAAGCGCACAAGAUUAAUCUUUUUUUAUAAAAAAAAUGAUUUCGUCAAAAGUAAAAGACAAGAGGRAGGUUCAAGAGGGCGUGAUUAGGGUUGCCAGCCAAACUCCCUCUUGAAGUUCAGAAAUACAGAUAAUAGGAAUUAUAUAWAUAAAUGAAAUGGGAGAAUAAAUCUGAAUGGGACUUAUUCUGAAAACAGAAGAAAUACACAGAAUUCUUGCGAAAGAAGAUCAUUUUGCUAUUUUCAUAUUGAUUGUUUAUUAUUUUGUUUAACUUUUCGGCAGCCCUAAAUCUAACCAUUUGAUACUUUUUCCUGAGUUAGACARCCCCUUUAGCGUUCUGGAUUCGCAAAGAAAGAGUAUACCUAAAGCAGUAGCUUGGAGAACUCUUAAUAACAUAUGCUGAACAACUGCAGACCUACCAACUCUAAAAGUGGGGUCGGCCAAUCUGAAAACCAUUCAAAUUCUUACUCCCUAAUUACUUUAUGUAUUCUUUUCUGAUGAAGGCGUAAGUACGCCGAAACAUGUCGAAUAAACGAUUUAAAAUAGUAA